rnacentral:rRNA from 3 species
GCUAAUACCGCAUACGACCUACGGGUGAAAGCAGGGGACCUUCGGGCCUUGCGCGAUUGAAUGAGCCGAUGUCGGAUUAGCUAGUUGGCGGGGUAAAGGCCCACCAAGGCGACGAUCCGUAGCUGGUCUGAGAGGAUGAUCAGCCACACUGGAACUGAGACACGGUCCAGACUCCUACGGGAGGCAGCAGUGGGGAAUAUUGGACAAUGGGCGCAAGCCUGAUCCAGCCAUACCGCGUGGGUGAAGAAGGCCUUCGGGUUGUAAAGCCCUUUUGUUGG